UACGGGGGGAGCAAGCGUUUGUUCGGAUUUACUGGGCGUAAAGGGCUCGUAGGUGCCAACUAAGUCAGACGUGAAAUCCCUCGGGCUUAACCGGGGAACUGCGUCUGAUACUGGAUGGCUUGAGUUGGGAGAGGACGUGCGGAAUUCCAGGUGUAGGCGGUAGUAAAUGCGUGAUAUGUCUGGAAGGAACACCGGGUGGCCGAAGGCGGCAUCCUGGACCGAUACUGACACUGAGGA
rnacentral:rRNA from 1 species